rnacentral:rRNA from 1 species
GGACACGUGAAACCCGGUGGGAAUAUGGGGGGACCAUCCUCCAAGCCUAAAUACUACCCAGUGACCGAUAGCGUAUAGUACUGUGAAGGAAAGGUGAAAAGCACCCCGGGAGGGGAGUGAAAAAGAACCUGAAACCCUGUGCUUACAAGCACUGAGAGCUCGUCAAAGAGUGAUCAGGUACCUAUUGUAGAAUGGUCCGGCGAGUUAUGAUAUGCAGCAAGGUUAAGUACUUAAGGUACGGAGCCGCAGCGAGAGCGAGUCUGAAUAGGGCGUAAAGUUGUAUGUCAUAGACCCGAAACCGAGUGACCUAGCCAUGUCCAGGCUGAAGUGGAGGUAAAACUCCAUGGAGGGCCGAACCGACCUCCGUUGAAAAGGCGGCGGAUGAGGUGUGGCUAGCGGAGAAAUUCCAAUCGAACUCGGAUAUAGCUGGUUCUCUCCGAAAUAGCUUUAGGGCUAGCGUUGCAACAGAUUACCGGAGGUAAAGCACUGAAUAGGCUAGGGGGCGAGAGCUUACUGAACCUUAUCAAACUAAGAAUGCCGGAUAAUUGAUUUGCAGCAGUCAGACAGUGUGAGAUAAGUUUCAUUGUCAAAAGGGAAACAGCCCAGACCCACAGCUAAGGUCCCAAAGUACAUUUGAGUGGAAAAGGAUGUGGGGUUGCAUAGACAACCGGGAUGUUGGCUUAGAAGCAGCCAUACAUUAAAAGAGUGCGUAAUAGCUCACCGGUCGAGUGACCCUGCGCCGAAAAUUCAACGGGGCUAAAAUGUACACCGAAGCUUGGGAUUGUACUUUGUACAGUGGUAGGAGAGCGUCGUAUGAGAGGAGAAGUCAGAGCGGAAGCGCUGGUGGAUUUCAUACGAGUGAGAAUGCCGGAAUGAGUAGCGAGAAUUAUGUGAGAAUCAUAAUGGCCGAAAGUCUAAGGUUUUGGAAGGAAGGUUCGUCCGCUUCCAGUAAGCCGGGAGCUAAGGUGAGGCCGAAAGGCGUAGCCGAUGCACAUACGGUUGAAAUUCCGUAGCCUCCGAAGUAUUUAAACAGAAGGACACUUGAGAAGUGAUGUUGCCGGGCGAUGGUUGACCCGGUCGUAAGGGACCGAAAUUUAGUAGGGAAGUCAUCAUGGAUCGAGGCGAGAAAAGUUCUGUGAAUAUACAAGGAGCCCGUACCGCAAACCGACACAGGUAGAUAGGAAGAAAAUUCUAAGGCCAACGGGAGAAGGGUUGUUAAGGAACUCGGCAAGUUGACCCCGUAACUUCGGAAUAAGGGGUGCUCUCGAGAGAGAGCCGCAGAGAAUAGGCCCAGGCGACUGUUUAGCAAAAACACAGCUCUAUGCUAAAUCGAAAGAUGAUGUAUAUGGGGUGACACCUGCCCGGUGCCGGAAGGUUAAGAGGAGGCGUGAGAGCGCUGAAUUGAAGCCCCGGUAAACGGCGGCCGUAACUAUAACGGUCCUAAGGUAGCGAAAUUCCUUGUCAGGUAAGUUCUGACCCGCACGAAUGGCGUAAUGAUUUGGGCACUGUCUCAACAGCCCGCCCGGCGAAAUUGUAGUACCGGUGAAGAUGCCGGUUACCCGCGACUAGACGGAAAGACCCCAUGGAGCUUUACUGCAGCUUAAUGUUGAAUUUCGGUAUUUCAUGUACAGGAUAGGUGGGAGACUGGGAACUACAGGCGUCAGCUUGUGGGGAGUCACUGUUGGGAUACCACUCUUGAAGUGCUGGAAUUCUAACCUGCGGCCUUGAAUCAGGUCGGGGGACAUCGUUAGGCGGGCAGUUUGACUGGGGCGGUCGCCUCCAAAAGAGUAACGGAGGCGCUCAAAGGUUCGCUCAGCAUGGACGGAAACCAUGCCAAAGAGUGCAAACGCAAAAGCGAGCCUAACUGCGAGACUGACGGGUCGAGCAGUAACGAAAGUUGGAGUUAG